CAGUCCACCACUAUUACUGUCCCCACAAAUAAUUUUAGCUAUGACAUAGCUAAGAGUUUGUUCUCACGGUUCCAUAACACUUGGUUAUCAUAUAGAACAGCAUUUGAAGUAGUAUCUCCUCUUCGUUUGCAGGAUCUUCUUUCUACUCUUCAUAAGAGCUGAGAAGUCUGGAAUUCUCCACCUCAAAUCUACUGUUAGAAAGGGUUGCAGGUUUUAAAAAGGGCAAAUGCCUCAGGAAAAGUCUGGCUCUGAGAAGAGAGGGGCAGAUACAUGGCCUCCAGAAGUCACGGAGGAAAUGCAGGAAUAACAGCUUCGUGAUGAGAAAAGGAGCAAGACUGGCUGUGAAGAAGCCUGAGGGGGAGAGGAACCAAUUUGGGGAUAAAGUGAAAGUUUGGCGACCAUUAUCCGGUGGCGAAGGAAAGGCUAUUUCUGGUUUUAGGUGUCACACUGGGCUAUACCUUAAGCAAGAUACAUAAAGAAGAGGUAAGAAAUCAAAUAUUAUGUAACUUCUCUUCUCCGUCAUCCUUCUUCUCCUCCUUCUUUAACCACUGAUUAUAGGGGCACCUCCCUGAUUUCUUCAUAGAUGGUAUUUAUUAUUAUUAUUAUAUCCCCAAAUAUCAUGUGACAUCCCAGCCUGGAUAAAGGUAUUCCUCUCUUUAGAGUAGUUUCCAAAAUGCAGUACACAAACCAAAUGUCAAAUUCUCAGUCAGGUCUCAAACACCCAGCAUCUUAAGUGUUUUCUUUUUUUUUCCCUUCAACCCCAUGCAACCACAAAUUGUUAAAAUAUUAAACACAGUUCUAACUCAUAAAGUAUUCCUUCUGUCCUUCCUCAGCCUUUGUCUCCCAACUCUGGUUUCAUGAUGGGGGUGGUGUGGAGGGAAGGUGUAUUGAGGUGGGAGGUGCAGGCAGUCUAGAAUUUGAUAUUUUAAAUGUUUGGUAUUUCAGGAUAUGGUGCCCCACAUCUUGCUACUUCCCAGUCCUACUCAGCUUGUGUAAGACUCCAGGGCAAUUCCGUGGCUAUAAUGGAAUUAUAGGUUAGAGGAGAAAUAGUGUGCUGGCUUCCUUUAAUGGAUUGCAGAUUGGUUUCAAAGUGUGUUUGCAGAUGCUGAGUAGUAGGGACAAAAGCUAGAGAUCUUCUAAGGCUGAUUUUUUCUGUGUUUGAAUAAUUUGAUCACAAGCAUAGGUGCCCAGAUGCUUUCAGGCAGGAAGCGUUGCUUUGGCAGUGCUUCC
rnacentral:lncRNA from 1 species